ACACCCGAUCCCAUCCCGAACUCGGCCGUUAAGCCCUCCAGCGCCGAUGGUACUAUAGGGUCGCUCUAUGGAAGAGUAGGACGCUGCCGGAU
rnacentral:rRNA from 1 species